CGAUCUUGAUGGCUCCGACCAUCUCCGAUGCAGCGAUCUCCUCUUUGGCUGUGCUGGCACACUAGGCAAUGACUCGGCGGAGCUAGGGCAUGGCGGGGAGAGGUUGAUUCGUGUCUUUUCCAGCCGAUCGAGCUUCUUUUGCUCUCCUCUUCGAUCUACUUGCUGGGGGUGAACUGGAUCAUCAUCAGUGGAAGUGGAUCGCACGACACCAGCUGUAGGGAUUGAUUGAGGAGGAUGCUUCGGAUAAACCUAGUGAUGGAUCUUCCUUGAGAAGAACUUCUUCUUCUCCAAUUCUUGUGGCUGGGGUCUUUGGUAGCUCUCGGGUGAAGAGCUUGAUUUGGGAUCAAUUGAGCUGUUGGCAGGGUUAUGGUGGGAGCUGUGAGUGUGGAUCAGCUACAACCUUCCAAGG